rnacentral:rRNA from 1 species
CCUACGGGUGGCAGCAGUGGGGAAUAUUGGACAAUGGGGGCAACCCUGAUCCAGCCAUGCCGCGUGUGUGAAGAAGGCCCUCGGGUUGUAAAGCACUUUCAGUGAGGAAGAACGCCUGGUGGUUAAUACCCAUCAGGAAAGACAUCACUCACAGAAGAAGCACCGGCUAACUCCGUGCCAGCAGCCGCGGUAAUACGGAGGGUGCGAGCGUUAAUCGGAAUUACUGGGCGUAAAGCGCGCGUAGGUGGUUUGAUAAGCCGGUUGUGAAAGCCCCGGGCUCAACCUGGGAACGGCAUCCGGAACUGUCAAGCUAGAGUGCAGGAGAGGAAGGUAGAAUUCCCGGUGUAGCGGUGAAAUGCGUAGAGAUCGGGAGGAAUACCAGUGGCGAAGGCGGCCUUCUGGACUGACACUGACACUGAGGUGCGAAAGCGUGGGUAGCAAACAGGAUUAGAUACCCUAGUAGUC